GCAGCGGAGCGUGUUGGUUUAAUUCGAUGCUACACGAAGAACCUUACCAGGGUUUGACAUGCAAGUGGUAGGAAACCGAAAGGCGACCGACCCUUCGGGGAGCUUGCACAGGUGCUGCAUGGCUGUCGUCAGCUCGUGUCGUGAGAUGUUCGGUUAAGUCCGCUAACGAGCGCAACCCUCGCUGUGUGUUACAAGUGUCACACGGUACUGCCGGUCUUAAGCCGGAGGAAGGUGGGGAUGACGUCAAGUCAGCAUGGCCUUUAUGUCCUGGGCUACACACGUGCUACAAUGGUUGGUACAACGAGUUGCGAGUCGGUGACGGCGAGCUAAUCUCUUAAAGCCAAUCUCAGUUCGGAUUGUAGGCUGCAACUCGCCUACAUGAAGUCGGAAUCGCUAGUAAUCGCGGAUCAGCACGCCGCGGUGAAUACGUUCCCGGGCCUU
rnacentral:rRNA from 1 species